AGCUGUUGGAGCAGGCCAGCGGUGAGAUCAUUCGCGUGUCUUAGGUCCGGAUGGGCUGGAGCGCCAGGAUAGACCAGAAGUACAUGUAAUUCAGAUAGGACAAGAAGCCUUGUGGAGAGGAAGAGGGCACAGGAGAUGAGACACAGAGUUCACCCACCCAAUCCCAAUCACAGUCCUGUCCCCAGGCCCAAUUGCAUGCCCUGCUCUGCAUCAAACCCCAUCCCCAAACCUAUUCUUAAACCCAUCACCAAUUCCAUUCCAUACCCUAACCUAUUCCCAAACCCAUCUCCAAACCGAAACUCACCUUCAUCCCCUACACUGUCCCUAACCCAUACGCAAACUCCAACCCAGUCCCAUCCCCAUUAUCCAGCCCCAUGUGCAUCCCCAAUCCCGCCUCCCACUUCAGUCACUUCCUAUCUAGCCCUGUCCACAACCCCACCCCGUCCCAAAUGCUAUCCCAAAUGCUAUUCCUGUCUGCAUCCCUGAACCCAUACCCAAAGCCAACCUCAUCCUCUCCCAUACCAGUCAUCAGGAAGAGGAAGACACUGGCCCAGGUCAGGUAGAAGCUGAGUGCCAGCUGGUAGGUCAUGCCUUCCUGCAGGUACCUGUGGGCCUGCAGCAGGUAGAACAGGAUACCCAGUACGAUGCUGGUUCCUGCAUGAGCACAGGUGUUAGGAGGCUGAGAAUCAGAUAUGUAAGGACUCCUUCCCAUAGUCAUGUGGCUGCCUGGCUCUGGCUCAUUAUUUCCCCACUUUCUUUAACCUCCCAGACCCUGUACCUUUGCUCCUAAGCAUGAAGAUGGGCUUCUGACCAAGUCCUGCUAGAGGACACUGAAAGGGCAAGCCUUGGGCUUUAACCAGGCAAUGGAAAAUUUAAAUUGGGCUCCAGAGAAGAGACAUUGAGACUGAUACUUCCAGCACUGAGGAUCUACCUCUAGAAGUCUAGCUCAGAACUUGGCCUCCGGCCUGGGCACUGCCUCAUACCUGCCAGAAUUGAUCUCAAUGGAGCUGCACAAUGAGAGGUUUUGCAUGUUGUCUAGAGGACUUUGGUUGAGUUCAGAGCUGAGCACACUUGCCUUCAGACUCUCCUGGGACUCCCAGGUAACUGAUUCAAUGCUUUUGAUACUGGGCUCGGGGCCGUAGUUCUCAUCCAUAUGAGCAAGGGCUUCAUGUUACUGGCCGUGGCCCUGUGCUGAGUCCUCCUCCCGCCCAUGGCCCUCUCCUCCUGGCCAGUGGUCCUCCGCCUGAACAUGGCCGACUUUGUCUUCAGUUUCCUCUGCCUCGGCAUUGGGCUCCUGAUUUCUCUUCAGCCUGACGCUCUUUUCAGUUAACGGCAAGGCGGUGCACCCAAGUCCGGUGGUGUCCUACCUGGUGACCUCCUACCUGUGCUGGGACGCCAGCGACUUGAUGCUGCACUCCGCAGGGCGCAGCGAGGCGGACAUCCAAACAGCGGAACUCAGACGCUGACUCCGAGCGCACCCCGGGCCUUCCCAUUUCAUACACCCUCGAGGAUGAGACCCAAGCACCUCCAAGGAAUAGCACCCGAGGUCUUCAGGACACCGACCGGUAGCCAUGGCCAGAUGCCCGGCCAACCCCUUCAGCGUGGCCACGCCCUGGAUAUUCGACCUCCCCUGAGGCCCCACCCCCUGAUAUCAGGCCACGCCCUCCGAGGGGACCGGUGGCAAACUCCAGCCCUCGCUCUAGGGCCCGCCCUUUGCGGCUUUGUCCCUGCCCACUGGGUCCUCACAGUACCUCCACCCCAGAGGCCCAGCAUCCCCUCCCGUUCUGCAGACACUUGUCCAGCGUCCCGCUGAGCUCGGCAGUGUGGCUAGUUUGUGUGGCCCUGCCCCUGGUGCCCAGCCAGGGUGGUCUGCAUGGAACUUCUUUCCCGGAGUUCCGGCCUCAGCUCCGAUGUCCACCCUUGUCCCCAGGUGGACACAGCACCGCCCAGCAUUUGGUGCAACUCCACCCUUCUGCAGAACGGGCCCCUCCCUGGGAAGGCAUGGCUUGCAAUAACAUCCCUCUGUACCUUUUCUGGCUUCCCCGCCACAAUAAAACCUCUCAGCCUCAGACCUUCCAUUGCCCCCCACCUCCCCACCAGGGCAGGGUCCAUCCUAGUGUGAGUGAACUGUUCUGGCGUCCCUGACUUGCCCUUUGGGA
rnacentral:lncRNA from 1 species